rnacentral:misc_RNA from 1 species
UCCCUAGACAUGGAAAAAAAAACGAGAAAGUGGGGGCAACUCCAUGAGUAAAGUGGCUUUAACGGUGAGUAAUAUAUAAAUAACCUGCCUUCAAGAUUGGGACAACCUGCCGAAAGGCGGGCUAAUACCGAAUAAGCCCACGAUCCCGAAAUUCGGGAAUGGGGGAAAAGAUGGUCAAUGCUUGCAAACUAUCACUUGAAGAGGGGUUCAUAUCCUAUUAGCUAGUUGGUAGGGUAAUGGCCUACCAAGGCAAAGAUGGGUAACCGGUCUGAGAGGAUGUACGGUCACACUGGAACUGAGAAACGGUCCAGACUCCUACGGGAGGCAGCAGUGGG